rnacentral:ncRNA from 1 species
GUGUUCGUAAAAAGGAGAGACGGUUGGCAUCUCCCCUGACAGGGACGGGAACGGUCUUCGGACUUUCCUCUAGCACAUAGCGGUUAAGGCUACCCGCUUCGGCGGAUCUUACCCAAAUUUUUUU